GACGAACGCUGGCGGCGUGCCUAAUACAUGCAAGUCGAACGCAGUGGGGACGGGUGAGUAACACGUGGGUAACCUCCCAUCAGAGGGGAUAACACUUGGAAACAGGUGCUAAACCGAUACUGAUGGAUGGACCCGCGGUGCAUUAGCUAGGUGGUGAUGUACCGGCUCACCAAGGCCACGAUGCAUAGCCGGCCGGAGGGGAUGAUCGGCCACACUGGGACUGAGACACGGCCCAGACUCCUACGGGAGGCAGAAGUAGGGAAGCUUACGCAAUGGACGAAAGUCUGACCCAGCAACGCCGCGGGAGUGAAGAAGGUGUUCGGAUUGUAAAGCUCUGUUGUUAGAGAAGCGGUAUCUAACCAGAAAGCCACGGCUAACUACGUGCCAGCAGCCGCGGUAAUAC
rnacentral:rRNA from 1 species